rnacentral:rRNA from 1 species
AACGAACGCUGGCGGCAUGCCUAACACGUGCAAGUCGAACGAGAUCUUCGGGUCUAGUGGCGCACGGGUGCGUAACGCGUGGGGAUCUGCCCUUUGGUUCGGAGUAACAGUUGGAAACGACUGCUAAUACCGGAUGAUGACGAAAGUCCAAAGAUUUAUCGCCAGAGGAUGAGCCCGCGUAGGAUUAGCUAGUCGGUGUGGUAAAGGCGCACCAAGGCGACGAUCCUUAGCUGGUCUGAGAGGAUGAUCAGCCACACUGGGACUGAGACACGGCCCAGACUCCUACGGGAGGCAGCAGUGGGGAAUAUUGGACAAUGGGCGAAAGCCUGAUCCAGCAAUGCCGCGUGAGUGAUGAAGGCCUUAGGGUUGUAAAGCUCUUUUACCCGGGAUGAUAAUGACAGUACCGGGAGAAUAAGCUCCGGCUAACUCCGUGCCAGCCGCCGCAGUAA